AUUGAACGCUGGCGGCAGGCCUAACACAUGCAAGUCGAGCGGUAGCACAGAGAGCUUGCUCUCGGGUGACGAGCGGCGGACGGGUGAGUAAUGUCUGGGAAACUGCCUGAUGGAGGGGGAUAACUACUGGAAACGGUAGCUAAUACCGCAUAACGUCGCAAGACCAAAGUGGGGGACCUUCGGGCCCCAUGCCAUCAGAUGUGCCCAGAUGGGAUUCGCUGGUAGGUGGGGUAACGGCUCACCUAGGCGACGAUCCCUAGCUGGUCUGAGAGGAUGACCAGCCACACUGGAACUGAGACACGGUCCAGACUCCUACGGGAGGCAGCAGUGGGGAAUAUUGCACAAUGGGCGCAAGCCUGAUGCAGCCAUGCCGCGUGUGUGAAGAAGGCCUUCGGGUUGUAAAGCACUUUCAGCGGGGAGGAAGGCAUUAAGGUUAAUAACCUUAGUGAUUGACGUUACCCGCAGAAGAAGCACCGGCUAACUCCGUGCCAGCCGCCGCAGUAAGAC
rnacentral:rRNA from 1 species